AGGCUCUAAUCCUCGGAUCGGAACUGCUUCUGCCUGGAAGAUUUGGCCGCCUUUUCCUUUGCUCUCCACAUUCCUGAAAAGCCGAUUCGUUCUGAGCCGCAUUGAUGACUGGGGGAGGAGGGCUGCUUCCAACUCUGGCACCACCUGGGUGGUCGCCGUGACCAAGUGAUUCCUUUUCAGCCCUUCUUUUCCUCGACUCUAUAAAAGCCAUUUUGCAGAGAAUAAAGAUGCUGAAGUAGUCUAUUUUGGCAUUGAUCUUGCAGGGGUACAAAGACUAGUUUAUAUCGAUCUGUAUUCAAUUAGACUAUGAGAUUUUUGAGGGUAGGGGUGCAUUACUCAGUCCAUGGCUCCAGAUCCUAGUACAGGGCCUGACAAAUAAAUAGUAGCUGUGCCUUCAAUCAUGUUGAAUUCAACAGAACCUACUUUUUCCCUGAACAUUUCCAAACACUUUUUCAGAUAUACUUAAAAUGUUAUAUAAAGCUUUCCAAGAAGAGAAAAGAGAGAGAACAAAAAGGAGAAUGGGGGAAGGAAUCCCAGAAUAACUGCAGAUCCUUUGAAAGAAAGAGGUUAGAUUUAGAUUUUCAAAGAAACUAAACCAGACAGAUCCUGCACAUCUAAGUGAGAACACACAAGCCCUCACAUCAUUAUUAAACAUCUCAAGUUCUUACUGUUUUCCAGGCUAACAAUGUCUCCUUAAUAUGUAACAUUCUCUAGCUUUGUAUUGUCUUUUUUACUUCUCUGACCCAUCUUCAAACUACCUAGGUGCUGAGCUGAGAACCUGCAAGGCUAAACUGGACACAGAUUGUUCAAAUCUAGAAAAUGGCAACUUUCAUUUUUCUUAGUGAGAGAGCUUUUAUCCUAUUUAAAGAAAGGACAAGGGUUUGCAUAACCAGAUUAGCUUUUUAAAAAAUUGGUGGCAGUAUGCACUUAAGAAUAAUCCUAUGCCAGGGCAUUAAUGAACAUUGGAUCUACCCUCUUGCAUAGUGUUUACAAAUAUAAACAAAAUUUUUCAUUCAACAAUCAAUGUAUGACAUAUACUCAUUUUGAGACAUGUGGAUCUUUAUUUUUAACUGUUGUAUAGUUUUCCAUUAAAUGGAGUAAAUUCCAGAAUAUACUUAUCCUCCCAAUAGAGCAUUUAGAGCAUGUUUUGUUUUUUUUGUUUGUUUGUUUUUAGAAAGAAUGUUGUAGCGAUGUCCCUGUAGUGAGUGGUCUACCUGUUUGCUCAUGAGAAUGUUUCCUUUACUUUCAUCCCUAAAAAUUAAAUUGCUGGGUUGUAGGGUUACAUAUCUUCAUCUUUAUUAGACACUGCCAAAUUGUUCUUCAAAGCACUUAAACAUCUGCUUGCUUAUUAACAAUGUGUCAGACUCCCACUUUUCCCACAUCCCCAACACUUAGUAUUAUCAGAUGUUUGCAUUUUCCCUCCAAUCUUAUAAAUAAGAAAUGGAAUGUCAUUUUAUUUUUAUUUUUUAGCUGCACCCAUGGCAUGUAGAAAUUCCCAGGCCAGGGAUUGAACCCAUGCCACAGCAAUCACCCUAACCAAUCCAGUGACAACGAAGAUCCUUAAUCCGCCAUGCCACAAAGGAACUCCCUGGAAUGUCUUUUAAAUUUACAUUUCCCUGAUUUCUCAUCCAAGUCUUUUAAAUCCAGCAUUGCUGAAUAGAACUUUCUGUGCUGGUGGCAACAUUCUCCCUUUCACGGAUUUCUCUUCACUUUAGUCUUCUAACCUACCACAAUUUCUCUACAAAGGAAAUCUUGUCAACCCAGCAACUUCAAAAUACGAUGAAAUCUAAAAAUGUUUAGAUUAACUACAGUUUAUUGCCUGUAGGCUGCACCAAAUUAUAAAGCUUGGCAAUCAAGAGAUUUACACCUAGCCCUGCACUAUAUUUCAACUUUUUCUCCAGUCCCUCAGUCCUGCAAGCUCUAUGCUGACCCUUUCACUCAUCUCUAAUAUACCAUAUGCCAGUUCAUCUCUGAAUCUUUGUAUGUACAGGUCUCUCAGCUUGUAUUUUUUUCUUCCCUCCCCUGCUAGUCAAGCUUCUUUACCUGUGUGUCUCCCAUACCAGUCUGAGACUUCAUGAGGACAAAAGAGGUUUUAUUGUUCCUUUCUUUCUCUCUCUCUCUCUUUUUUUUUUUUGGUCUUCUUAGGGCCACACCCAAGGCAUAUGGAAAUUCCCAGGCCAAGGGUCAAAUCAGAGCUGUAGCCACUGGCCUCCACCACAGCCACAGCCAAGCCAAAUCAGAGCGGCUUCUGCAACCUACACCACAGUUCACUGCAAUGCCAGAUCUUUAACCCACUGAAAGAGGCCAGGGAUCAAACCUGCAUCCUCAUGGAUACUAGUCAGAUUUAUUUACACUGAGCCACAACAGGAACUCCUGUUCAUUUCAUUUUUGUAUCCCUAGUUCCUAUCCUAGUGCAAGCAAAAUAGGUGGGAUUUGAUAACUGCUCACUGAAUGCAUGCAUGCAUGAAUGAAUGAAGUGUUCUAGAAAAACAUAGCCUGUAGGGGAAAAAUCUAAAAUACAGUAUCGUAACUUUAAAAUAAUAUCCUCUGUCUUAGUCCUUUGGAGCUGCCAUAGACUGGCUGGCUUAUAAACAACAACCAUUUAUUUCUCACUGUUUUGGUGGCUGGGAAGUCCAAGAUCAAGUCACUGGCAGAUUUGGUGUCUAAAUGAGAGCUCACUUCCUCAUAGAUGGCAGCUUUUUGCCAUGUCUUCACAUGGUAGAAGGGGCAAGGUAGCUUUCUAGAGCUUUUCCCCCUUCUCCUCCCCCUGCCCUCUCCCCCCACCUUCUUCUUUUUCUUUUGGCUCCACCCCUGGCAUGCAGAAGUUUUCAGGUAGGGAUUAAACCUUCUCAGGAGGAGUGACCUCAGCCAAGGCAGUGACAGCACCAGACCCUUAACCCAUUGAGCCACCAGGGAACUCAGAGGGCUUCUUUUAUAAGGGCACCAGCACAUUUGGGCUGCACCUUCACGACCUUAUAAUCAUCACCCAAAGGUCACACCUCCUAAUAUCAUUAUACUGGAUGUUAGGUUUCAACAUAUGAAUUUUAGGGGGUCACAAACAUUGAGAUCAUAGCACCCUCUAUCAACCAUAGGCUAUAGGUAUUUUGAAACAGGCACGUUUUACAUUGAUUUGUAUUCUCUUCCACUGAUCUUUUUUCACUUCUAUUAUGGAUUCAUUUUUUUUCUUAUUAGCAUAAGAAAAAAAUCCCCCAACCUAUCAGUUUGAAAUGUUUCAGAUGCGAGAAACACAGAAACAGAAAACAACAAAGAAAACCAGGAGACCAGUAAUUCAAACAAGUAUUUUUUUCCAAGUUAUAAGAAGCUUGAGGGAGACACCUGCUGGGACAGAGUCUAUGGCAUCUUUGCUCAUCUCUGACUUUUCCUCAGUGUCACAAAGCUGCUCUUGCUCCUGGAACAUUCAUAUUCAAUGCAGGUAGGAGAAGGAAGCAUUAAUGCCUGCAUGACUAUUCUUUUAUGGGGAGAGCAAAAAAUUCCCCCACAGCAUCAACCCCAUAACAGAUUUCCUAUCAUCUCAUUGGCCAGAACUUGAAAAAUGACCAUCCCUGGCUGCAAAGAAGGUGAGCAUUUCUGUCACAAUCAUGAACAACCAAAGACUGAAACUGGACUCAUUGCUAACACAAGGCAAAUAGAGUUCUAUUAGCAAGGAAGAAAGAGGGAUAAUGAAUACUUAACUAAGCAUCUUGCAUAAAACAUGAUCCUAGCAUUUAAAUAUCAAAACCAAAUGCCUGGUCUAAUCUCACAUUCUAGUCACUCCUCUUCCACCUCCCAGGAGGCUCAGAGGCCUGAAGGCUUAGGAGGAUCUAGGAUGUACAGAACUUGACCAGCAGGCUUCUUGAAAGGAAGGAAAAAUAGGGGCAGGGAAUGGGGUGGUGUGGUAGGGCUGAAAAUGGACUUAGUGGAAAAGGAGAAUUGUAAAAUUGGACUCAAUUCAGUUGCCCAUAAAUUAAGGCUGCCACUUCAGAUUAUUCCUACUGUGACCUGCUGCUCGCAGUCCACCUAAGUCAAGUAGGGUGACAGCAAUGCUGAAGUAGGGCAGGAGGAAAACAAGACUUAAGCUGAAGUGUUAACUAUGAAGGAUAAACCCCUCUGUAUAUUUCAAGCUCUGUGUCCUUGAUACCCGAAAGAAAAAGAUUUGGGUCAUACCCUGGAAUAAGGCAAUAGUUGACGACAGUUUAGAAGACUAAACGAAGUGCCCAAAACCCACAAAAGAGAGAUCCAUGAAUGUACUACAUCUUUUCUACAUGUUGCCAACACAAUAAUGGAAAGGUAUGAAAUAAGAACACUAUUUCUUGAUAUUUUCAAGAAGAUAUGUAGCACUUAUUGUUGAAUAUGUGCAUUUAUGCCCCAUAUGCCUAGCAUAACUUUUUCAGUUGCCCCAAAUUCUAACCUUUCUUCAAGUCUUUCUCUAGAAUUUACUAUUGCAACUCAUUUGUUCAUUUAUUUAUUUUUUAACAAGUAACUUGGAUAAGUACAUUUCCAGCACCACCAGCUGGAAACCAGCUCUUGAGAGUGACUUUUGGGAGAAUGAUGGAGGACGUUAUAUGCUAGAUGAAUUGUGAUUUUAAAAAAGGUUACCUGGAGUUCCCGUUGUGGCGCAGCGGUUAACGAAUCCGACUAGGAACCAUGAGGUUGCAGGUUCGAUCCCUGGCCUUGCUCAGUGGGUUAGGGAUCCGGCAUUGUCCUGAGCUGUGGUGUAGGUCACAGACGCAGCUUGGAUCCCGUGUUGCUGUGGCCCUGGCGUAGGCUGGCAGCUACAGCUCCGAUUCGACCCCUAGCCUGGGAACCUCCAUGUGCUGUGGGAGCGGCCCAAGAAAUGGCAAAAAGACAAAAAAUAAAAUAAAAUAAAAUAAAAAAAGGUUACAUUGGCCAAUGAACAAACUGAAAAUUUCUUUUUUUCCCCUGUAUUUUCAAAUGCACUUUAAAAUAUUGGCAUUCCCUUUGUGGCUCAGCAGUAACAAACCCAACUAGUAUCCAUGAGGAUGAAGGUUCAAUCCCUGGCCUCUCUUUUUAAAAAAAGACAACCCAUUCCCAUCUCCCUAUAACUAAUAUUCUAAAUUUUCCAGUUUAUAAUAAAAAUUUAAUGAGCAUUCAAAGUUUGCAAAGUCAGAAAAUGUGACUCAUAGUAAAGAAAAGAAGCAUUCAAUAGAAAUAGAUACUGAGAUUCCUCAGAUGAUGGAAUUAGGUGACAAGGACUUUAAAGCAAUGAUUAUAAAUAUGUUCAAGAACUUAGAAAAGGUAGACCUAACGAGUCAAUAGAUGGGAAUUAUCAGCAGAGAAUGGAUGAGAAAAAAAGAAACAAAUGGAAAUUCUAGAACUGAAAAGUACAGUAUCUAUAAUGAAAAACUCAUUGAAUGGGCUUAACAGCACACCAGGGUCUGCAGAACAAAAUUAUUCAAUCUAUGGAGCAAAGAGAAAAAAAAUUUUUUAAAUGAACAAUGUUGGAGUUCCCGUUUUGGGGCAGUGGAAACGAAUUGGAUACAGGUUUGAUCCCUGGCCUCAUUCAGUGGGUUGGGGAUCCAGCAUUUCCAUGAGCUGCGGUGUAGUUUGCAGAUGUGGCUGUGAUCCUGCAUUGCUGCGGCUGUGGUGUAGGCUGGCAGCUGCAGCUCCCAUUUGACCCCUAGGCUUGGGAACUUCCAUAUGCUGUGAGUGUGGCC
rnacentral:lncRNA from 1 species